AGUCUUAUAGUCAAAAGUUAAAUGAUUUUAAAUUGCAAAUUUGAAGUUGGGAUAUCCCUAAGACUU
rnacentral:tRNA from 1 species